rnacentral:rRNA from 1 species
ACGAACGCUGGCGGCGUGCCUAAUACAUGCAAGUCGAACGCUUCUUUUUCCACCGGAGCUUGCUCCACCGGAAAAAGAGGAGUGGCGAACGGGUGAGUAACACGUGGGUAACCUGCCCAUCAGAAGGGAAUAACACUUGGAAACAGGUGCUAAUACCGUAUAACAAUUGAAACCGCAUGGUUUUGAUUUGAAAGGCGCUUUCGGGUGUCGCUGAUGGAUGGACCCGCGGUGCAUUAGCUAGUUGGUGAGGUAACGGCUCACCAAGGCGACGAUGCAUAGCCGACCUGAGAGGGUGAUCGGCCACAUUGGGACUGAGACACGGCCCAAACUCCUACGGGAGGCAGCAGUAGGGAAUCUUCGGCAAUGGACGAAAGUCUGACCGAGCAACGCCGCGUGAGUGAAGAAGGUUUUCGGAUCGUAAAACUCUGUUGUUAGAGAAGAACAAGGAUGAGAGUAACUGUUCAUCCCUUGACGGUAUCUAACCAGAAAGCCACGGCUAACUACGUGCCAGCAGCCGCGGUAAUACGUAGGUGGCAAGCGUUGUCCGGAUUUAUUGGGCGUAAAGCGAGCGCAGGCGGUUUCUUAAGUCUGAUGUGAAAGCCCCCGGCUCAACCGGGGAGGGUCAUUGGAAACUGGGAGACUUGAGUGCAGAAGAGGAGAGUGGAAUUCCAUGUGUAGCGGUGAAAUGCGUAGAUAUAUGGAGGAACACCAGUGGCGAAGGCGGCUCUCUGGUCUGUAACUGACGCUGAGGCUCGAAAGCGUGGGGAGCAAACAGGAUUAGAUACCCUGGUAGUCCACGCCGUAAACGAUGAGUGCUAAGUGUUGGAGGGUUUCCGCCCUUCAGUGCUGCAGCUAACGCAUUAAGCACUCCGCCUGGGGAGUACGACCGCAAGGUUGAAACUCAAAGGAAUUGACGGGGGCCCGCACAAGCGGUGGAGCAUGUGGUUUAAUUCGAAGCAACGCGAAGAACCUUACCAAGUCUUGACAUCCCUUGACGAUACUGGAAACAGUAUUUCUCUUCGGAGCAAGGAGACAGGUGGUGCAUGGUUGUCGUCAGCUCGUGUCGUGAGAUGUUGGGUUAAGUCCCGCAACGAGCGCAACCCUUAUUGUUAGUUGCCAUCAUUUAGUUGGGCACUCUAGCAAGACUGCCGGUGACAAACCGGAGGAAGGUGGGGAUGACGUCAAAUCAUCAUGCCCCUUAUGACCUGGGCUACACACGUGCUACAAUGGGAAGUACAACGAGUCGCAAAGUCGCGAGGCUAAGCUAAUCUCUUAAAGCUUCUCUCAGUUCGGAUUGUAGGCUGCAACUCGCCUACAUGAAGCCGGAAUCGCUAGUAAUCGCGGAUCAGCACGCCGCGGUGAAUACGUUCCCGGGCCUUGUACACACCGCCCGUCACACCACGAGAGUUUGUAACACCCGAAGUCGGUGAGGUAACCUUUUGGAGCCAGCCGCCUAAGGUGGGAUAGAUGAUUGGGGUG